rnacentral:rRNA from 1 species
GACGAACGCUGGCGGCGUGCCUAAUACAUGCAAGUCGAACGGUCUUUUCUAUGGAAGCUUGCUUCCACUGAGAAGAUAGUGGCGAACGGGUGAGUAACACGUGGGUAACCUGCCCAUAAGAGGGGGAUAACAUCCGGAAACGGGUGCUAAUACCGCAUAGUUUUCUUGAUCGCAUGAUUGAGAAAGGAAAGACGGCCUUUGUGCGGUCGCUUAUGGAUGGACCCGCGGCGUAUUAGUUAGUUAGUGAGGUAACGGCUCACCAAGACGAUGAUACGUAGCCGACCUGAGAGGGUGAUCGGCCACAUUGGGACUGAGACACGGCCCAAACUCCUACGGGAGGCAGCAGUAGGGAAUCUUCCGCAAUGGACGAAAGUCUGACGGAGCAACGCCGCGUGAGUGAAGAAGGUUUUCGGAUCGUAAAACUCUGUUGUCAGAGAAGAACAAGUCGGAGAGUAACUGCUCCGGCCUUGACGGUAUCUGACCAGAAAGCCACGGCUAACUACGUGCCAGCCGCCGCGGUAAUAC